rnacentral:sRNA from 1 species
ACGUACAAGAAGUACGUUCCGGUUCCUGCGCGCCGUCCGCGUAGCCUGGUGUCCGCUCGCUACGCCCACUCAGCUGCGAACC